AAAACAUCUUUAUUAGAAAUAAUUAAUAAUAAAAUCUGCUCAAUGAAAAAUUAAAUAGCCGCAACUCGUGCUAAGGUAGUAUAAUAAUUAGUCUUUUAAUUAAAGACCAAACAAACGAUUUAACAUUUUAAUUUAUAUAAAAAUAUAAAUAUUUAAAUUACUUUAAUGAUAAAAAAAUCAUUAUAUAAAAAAAAGACGAUAAGACCCUAUUGAACUUUACUUAAGUUUAACUGGGGUAGUUAAUUAAACAUAAUCUUAAUUAAAAUAUUUACUAAUUAGACCUAAUAUUAUUAAUUAAAAAAUUAAGUUACCAUAGGGAUAACAGUGUAAUAAUUUCUCUAAGAUCUUAUUUAAGAAAUUGAUU
rnacentral:rRNA from 1 species